CUUCCAACCUGGCUGGGCCGGGCACUGAGAUAUCUCAGCCUCGGCACUCCGUCCAGCUCAGUCACGACCCCACCCAGGACUGGCCAAACCCCACCUCCAAGGGAUGAUUGAUAGGUCCUGUCAUUCCAACCAUUCCCGUCUCGGGUCCGACCCUUCUUCAAGCAUAUUUAGGCCCCGCCCUUCAGUCUGAACAAGCUCCGCCUCCACUCCAAGCUCCGCCCCCGGAGUCCCUGGCACUCCCACCAGGAGCUGGAAGGGACUUCCUUAGCCUCUGCCCUUCGCCCCAAUCCCCCGACCCCCACAGGAGCUCAGAGUUUGAUUCAGAGCACAACCUAACAAGCAAUGAAGGGCACAGUCUGAAAAACCUGGAGCACCGCCUAAAUGAGAUGGAGAGAACUCAGGCUCAGCUGAGGGAUGCUGUCCAGAGCCUGCAGCUUUCUCCAAGGACGCGGGGGUCUUGGAGUCAACCCCAGCCCCUCAAAGCACCCUGCCUCAAUGGAGACACCACCUGAGCUGCCCAUCCUGCCUCAUCACACGUGGUCUGGGAGCAGAGAGAUAGCCAUCUUAGGGGGGGUGUCUGACCUUGCCUUAGCCCUACUUGGCCUACAGUGGGGAGUGGAGCUGCUGGUCCCAACCACUCUGGCAGUAUGAAGUUGCCCAGUAAAAUCUUGAUUUCAGU
rnacentral:lncRNA from 1 species